AUCCCAUUCCACCUGCUAUGCUGACUGGAAAGCAUGAAAAGACCAUCAUUGAGAAAGAGAACAACUUCAAGCAGCUCGGAGAGAGAUGCCGAUCAUAGACAGGUAAGAGUGGUUCAUCUGCGGAUAGAUCGAUGCUUUAUCUAACCCACGUGUGACUCAUGAGAUCCGCAACCUCUGGACUUCAUACUGGUCUCAGGCGGACAAAUCUUCGGGUCAGAAAUUAGCAUCUCGGCUCAAUGUGCAACCAAGCAUUUAAGGACCGUAUAGAGCUGGAUGUUUUGGGGUGGAGCGAGCACAAAACGAUGUCUGAGCUAUAAACUCUGUUCCAAUGAUUAUU